rnacentral:tRNA from 1 species
GAGGGUAUAGCUCAGUGGUAAAGCACAUGCCUAGCAUGCACAAGGUCCUGGGAUCAAUCCCUAGUACCUCCA